GCAGUUCACAGUGAUAAGUAGGUCAACGUCAAAUUCAAGGUCACAGUAAGAUUGCCAAUAUAUGACUUUCAAUUCAAGUUAGUAUUUGGAACGAAUGUCACCUGUACAAAGUAAUGGAAAGCGGACUACAGUUGCUGGCGGACUUACAUUCCUGUUAAACCUGGACUAAAACCAUAAGCACCAACAGCGCUAUAUAACCGUCGGUUGAUUCCGCCCUCAUUUAACCAUCAAUGCUGUUGUGCACGGAGUUGUGCGUCAUGCCUUACCUCGUGAUUUGACGAAAGUGCAGUUUUAAAUGUAAUUUUGGCUAUCGAGUGAUUGAUUUAUCCUUUGGCAUGUCACCUUAGGUCAUAUAAGAACCUUGUGGAAGAAGUUUCUAUGUGGUUUAGAGUUGCCCAAGGCACAAAUGCUAAGCAUCAUCGAAGCGUCAACGAACUGCAGACAGUUUUUAAAGGUGAAAUGUUCUGGAUCCGCUCUCUAUGAGAAACUUCAGUCACGACAUAAUACCUACUGGAGUUCACGCGAUGGCGAGAGGAUGCUCUACUGGGGCGGAGGAGAUCCGAACGGAUGGGGCUGCGCAUGCGCUCUUGAUAAUUCAUGUGUUGGUGGGUUGGACUGCAACUGCAACGCAAACGACUUCGCCUGGAGAGAGGACGAGGGCUACGUCACGGACAGG